AUUGAACGCUGGCGGCAUGCCUUACACAUGCAAGUCGAACGGCAGCACGGGGGCAACCCUGGUGGCGAGUGGCGAACGGGUGAGUAAUACAUCGGAACGUGUCCUGUUGUGGGGGAUAAC
rnacentral:rRNA from 1 species